AAUGAUGAAAUUUUCUAUAUCUGACUCCUUAGCCAUAAAAUCUAAAACAUUACUAACGAUUUCCUGUCCUUGUCGAUGCAGACUCUUAUUUUUUACAAAAGACAUUUUCACUUAUGUUUAAUCCAAAGUAUGCCUACAGUAUUUAGUCUAGAUCUAUUGGGUUACAGCCUUCUAUACAAGCACUGGCCUACGCUCCUCUUUUUGAAUAAUGGUUUCACCCAAUACCAACUACGCAUGUGCUUCCAUAUAUCAAUCUGUCUGGAACGAACUAUACAUGGUCUGCUCGAGCUACCUCGGCACACUUUGUCACUGCUCGGGUUAGAGGCAGUUUUUGGGCACGAGUCAAAGCAACACAAGGCGAGAGACGAGG
rnacentral:lncRNA from 1 species